UGUGAGACAGGUGCUGCAUGGCUGUCGUCAGCUCGUGUUGUGAAAUGUUGGGUUAAGUCCCGCAACGAGCGCAACCCUUAUCCUUGUUGCCAGCGGUCCGGCCGGGAAACUCAAAGGAGACUGCCAGUGAUAAACUGGAGGAAGGUGGGGAUGACGUCAAGUCAUCAUGGCCCUUACGACCAGGGCUACACACGUGCUACAAUGGCGCAUACAAAGAGAAGCGACCUCGCGAGAGCAAGCGGACCUCAUAAAGUGCGUCGUAGUCCGGAUUGGAGUCUGCAACUCGACUCCAUGAAGUCGGAAUCGCUAGUAAUCGUGGAUCAGAAUGCCACGGUGAAUACGUUCCCGGGCCUU
rnacentral:rRNA from 1 species